CUGCAACUCGCCUGCAUGAAGUCGGAAUUGCUAGUAAUCGCAGAUCAGCAUGCUGCGGUGAAUACGUUCCCGGGCCUUGUACACACCGCCCGUCACACCAUGGGAGUCGGUAACACCCGAAGUCGGUAGCCUAACCGUAAGGAGGGCGCCGCCGAAGGUGGGAUUGAUGACUGGGGUGAAGUCGUAACAAGGUAGC
rnacentral:rRNA from 1 species